AGCCCAUCUUUGUGCAGAUCGCAAAGCAAGUGGUGAGCCUGAAUCCUCUGGAGCUGCGGCUGCCAUCGCGAGCAUGGAAGGUCAAGUUGGUGGGGGAGGGAGCAGAUGAUGCUGGCGGGGUAUUUGAUGAUACCAUCACUGAGAUGUGCCAGGAGCUGCAGUCUGGUGUGGUAGAACUUCUGAUUCAUACCCCCAACAGCUUUGCAGAUGUGGGCAGCAACACAGACAGGUACUUGCUCAACCCAGCGGCACACUCAGAGGAUCACAUGGUCCAAUUUCCUUUCUUGGGUAUCCU